GGCCGGAUUUGCCAAUAGGCAACAUAGGCCAUUGGCCUAGGGCCCACUGGUAACUGAGGGCCCACUGGGGUCCUGGGGACUUAAGUUGUGGUGGCCCAAUGAGAGAGAGAGAGAGAGAGAGAGAGAGAGAGAGAGAGAAUAA